rnacentral:misc_RNA from 1 species
CCCCCAGGGUUUGGACGUGUUGGACUGGCGAAUGCAGACUGCAAAGGAGGUGGUGGCAGCUUUGAUUUAAGGUUACUAAAGGCAAGCAGUCGAUCCUUCACAGGUGAUGUAAAAGAGUUCCGCUCUACUAACAGACUUCGGAAGUCUGUGCAUGGCCUCUUUGGAGACCUGUUAUCCCCAUUCUGACCUGGAGACAACUCAGGCUUCUGUGAAGAAGGCACAGGAGGCAAACCUCCAGAAGAAAAGUUAAUAUGCAUGGCAAUUGCAUCCAGAGAUGGCAUUGGUUCUGCUAAUAGCCCAAGACGAUUUAUCUCUGCAGAAAAAGAGGGUCUUGCUAUGGUCAAGGAAUUAUACAUUGAGGAACCCUUUUCCCACACCAUGCUCUCCAGAAGUCGUUCUUCCAAUGAAUUCAAAUGCCGCCUCAACUCCCUUGGGAGAGACUCCUCAUGUCUAAUGAAGCUCUCUAUCACCUUGCUAAGAUCAAAAGCUGUAAUGCCAGUUCUCUCCAAAACUGCAGGAAAGAGCAUAGUGACAGUGUUAUGUGUUGCCAGAACAAGUUCAGCAGAACAUGCAAGCAUACAUCUGUGGAACCUCUCAUUAGUUAAUAAAGAGGUCAAAUUAGUUGCAUGCAAUAUUUGGGCCUCCGCUGUGCACAUUGCUUCCAGAACCCUAAAAUACAACUUUAAUGCUUCCAAUCUUCUUUGUUCUGCCCAUAUAUUGUCCAUCAGGUUUGUACUUUGCAGACGUCCAGUUACACAACGCUCUCCCAGAGAGCUACUUGGAAAUAUAGCCUCCAAUAUUAUCUUAGCUCUACGUAUGACAUCAUUACUAACAUCGUUACAUCCCUAUCACAUGAUGCAAGGAAGCGUUCCAGUUGUGCUGAGGGUUUUGAUGGAAGUGGAGAAAUAACAGUUCGAAGCCACUUUGAGGUUGUCAUUGCAGUGCUUAAGGGAGUAGCAGCCAUCUUAGCAUUCGUGCUGCCUAAAAUGCUACUUGAUGCAGGGGAUCGGAGGGGAGAAAGAGGACUUGUAAUUGUCUUUGCUGGUGACGAUAUAUAAUCAAAUUUUCUUUUGGUGCCAGUUGCAUUUGUGCCACCAACAGAUGGGCUUCCUGAACCAAUCAAGCCAUCUUUAUCAUUGAUAAAUACCCUCUCAUCCAGUUCACCCCUUGCACGAAUUGCAUCCUCGUAAUUCUUCUCCAAAAUAGCCAAACUGGACUGCAGAGAUGAUUCCUCCAUUAAGUCUUUAUAAUAGAUCAAACCAUCUGCAUUGAUAUAAUCCAGGUUUUCAGUUUUAAACUCAGAUGCCAAACAAGGCUUUUUCUUCAGAAUAUCCGCUAUUAAAUUGUUGGUCUUCUCCAUUGUUUUUCUCAGCUCAUCUUC